rnacentral:rRNA from 1 species
UACGAAGGUGGCAAGCGUUGUUCGGAUUUACUGGGCGUACAGGGAGCGUAGGCGGUUGGGUAAGCCCUCCGUGAAAUCUCCGGGCCUAACCCGGAAAGUGCGGAGGGGACUGCUCGGCUAGAGGAUGGGAGAGGAGCGCGGAAUUCCCGGUGUAGCGGUGAAAUGCGUAGAGAUCGGGAGGAAGGCCGGUGGCGAAGGCGGCGCUCUGGAACAUAUCUGACGCUGAGGCUCGAAAGCGUGGGGAGAAAACAGG